rnacentral:rRNA from 1 species
AGUGAACGCUGGCGGCAUGCUUUACACAUGCAAGUCGAACGGCAGCGGGGUAGGGGUUUGUUCUUACCCGUGGCGUGUCGAACGGGGGAGUGAUACAUCUGGACGUCUCCUGUUGCGGGGGAUAUCAAGCCGAGAGGGUGGCGAUAACCGCAUAUAUUCUGUACGGGAAAGCUCGGGAGCUGUGAAUAGGUCUAGCGCUUUUUGAGCGGCCGAUGUCGGAUUAGCUAGUUGGCGGGGUAAAGGCUCACCAAGGCGAAGAUCUGUAGCGGGUCUGAGAGGAUGAUCCGCCACACUGGGACUGAGACACGGUCCAGACUCCUACGGGAGGCAGCAGUGGGGAAUAUUGGACAAUGGGGGCAAGCCUGAUCCAGCCAUGCCGCGUGUGUGAAGAAGGCCUUCGGGUUGUAAAGUCCUUUUGUUAGGGAAGAAAAGUAGGCUGUGAAUAACGGCUUGUACUGACGGUACCUAAAGAAUAAGCACCGGCUAACUACGUG